AAAAAAUACAUCCAAAUACAAAAUGACUAACAAAAGAUACAUUUAUGUAUGUUUUUGUGACUUUGAUGCAUCGAGUUGUGACUAUUGUGACAGGAGAUUUUUUUUAUUACCAAAUAUACUGUACAUAUUCAAAAGUUGAAGGAGAUAUUUAUGGGUAUUGGUUGGUAUGCUGUGGACAACUAAUGUGGACCCGACACAUCAAAUAAUUCUGCUUCACACACACACUUUCACACUACAUUAC
rnacentral:lncRNA from 1 species